CCUACGGGAGGCAGCAGUGAGGAAUAUUGGUCAAUGGACGAGAGUCUGAACCAGCCAAGUAGCGUGCAGGAUGACUGCCCUAUGGGUUGUAAACUGCUUUUAUGCGGGGAUAAAGUGAGUUACGUGUAACUUAUUGCAGGUACCGCAUGAAUAAGGACCGGCUAAUUCCGUGCCAGCAGCCGCGGUAAUACGGAAGGUCCAGGCGUUAUCCGGAUUUAUUGGGUUUAAAGGGAGCGUAGGCCGUUUUUUAAGCGUGUUGUGAAAUGUACCGGCUCAACCGGUGAUGUGCAGCGCGAACUGGAAGACUUGAGUGCGUAGUAAGCAGGCGGAAUUCGUGGUGUAGCGGUGAAAUGCUUAGAUAUCACGAAGAACUCCGAUAGCGCAGGCAGCUUGCUGUAUCGCAACUGACGCUGAUGCUCGAAAGCGUGGGUAUCAAACAGGAUUAGAUACCCGAGUAGUC
rnacentral:rRNA from 1 species